AUUCCAAGGAUUAGGAUGGGGACAUGUCUUUGGAGCCACCAUUCAGCCCGCUACAGGAAAGAUGUGUCAAAAUCUCUCCAGGAUUGUCAAUUUCUCCUUGUAAUUCAAAGGAAUGGCUGUAUUUCAAAGGUUUCCUUUCCUCAUAUCUUCCCUAAAUCUGACCAGCGGAAGCCACGGCCUGGGGUGUUUUCUGGUUCAGUCACAAUUUCCAGGGUAGGACUGUAUUGUAAGAAGAAUGCGGUCACUCUCCCCAAGCGCACAUUAUCACACUUCUUUUAAGCAGGAGAUCUUAGGACUGUGUGAGUGGCCAGUCACAUUUCCAUUUUGCCAGAACUACCAUUAUUCCCACAGCCUCUGGAACAAAACCUCUUGCUCGAGAAGGUGCUUCAGAUGAACUCACUAUUUGAAAAUGCAUCUUGUUACGCUGUUUUUUUGUUUUUUGUUUUGUUAUAAAUAAUUAAGUUUUGAGGGAUUCUGCAGAUGCGCCAAAAAACACGUGUCCGGGGUAAAAGCUGUGGAAGGUGCUCGGUUCUAAGGAGAGGGAAGGAAAGCCAAGUGGACCCUGUCAUCUGAAAUUGUUUUGUCAUCCACUGACUUUUACAAAUAAAACAGCCGGGCGCAGUGGCUCACGCCUGUAAUCUCAGCACUUUGGGAGGCCAAGGCGGGCGGAUCACGAGGUCAGGAGAUCGAGACCAUCCUGGCUAACACGGUGAAACCCCAUCUCUACUUAAAAAAAUACAAAAAAUUAGCCGGGCGUGGUGGCGGGCGCCUGUAGUACCAGCUACUCGGGAGGCUGAGGCAGGAGAAUGGCGUGAACCUGGGAGGCGCAGCUUGCAGUGAACCGAGAUUGCGCCACUGCACUCCAGCCUGGGCGACAGAGCGAGACUCCAUCUCAAAAAAAUAAAUAAAUAAAAAUAAAAAAAUAAAACAAGCUGUGGCAGAG
ensembl:lncRNA novel transcript